AUUGAACGCUGGCGGCAGGCCUAACACAUGCAAGUCGAACGAGUGGCGGACGGGUGAGUAAUGUCUGGGAAACUGCCCGAUGGAGGGGGAUAACUACUGGAAACGGUAGCUAAUACCGCAUACCAUCGGAUGUGCCCAGAUGGGAUUAGCUAGUAGGUGGGGGAACGGCUCACCUAGGCGACGAUCCCUCGCUGGUCUGAGAGGAUGACCAGCCACACUGGACCUGAGACACGGGCCAGAUCCCUACGUGGGGCAGCAGUGGGGAAUAUUGCACAAUGGGCGCAGGCCUGAUGCAGCCAUGCCGCGUGUAUGAAGAAGGCCUUCGGGUUGUAAAGUACUUUCAGCGAGGAGGCGUUACUCGCAGAAGAAGCACCGGCUAACUCCGUGCCAGCAGCCGCGUAAUUC
rnacentral:rRNA from 1 species